GUGAGGAAUAUUGGUCAAUGGGCGGAAGCCUGAACCAGCCAAGUCGCGUGAAGGAAGAAGGAUCUAUGGUUUGUAAACUUCUUUUGAAGGGGGAUAAAGUGCGUCACGAGUGAUGCAUUGCAGGUACCCUUGGAAUAAGCAUCGGCUAACUCCGUGCCAGCAGCCGCGGUAAUACGGAGGAUGCGAGCGUUAUCCGGAUUUAUUGGGUUUAAAGGGUGCGUAGGUGGCUUUUUAAGUCAGCGGUGAAAACUGGCGGCUCAACCGCAAGAGUGCCGUUGAAACUGGGGAGCUAGAGUAUGAACGAGGUAGGCGGAAUGUGUGGUGUAGCGGUGAAAUGCAUAGAUAUCACGCAGAACUCCGAUAGCGAAGGCAGCUUACCAGGCCAUAACAGACACUGAAGCACGAAAGCGUGGGGAUCGAACAGGAUUAGAUACCCGUGUAGUCC
rnacentral:rRNA from 1 species